GCUCUUUCAUUUAAUUAAUAUUGUAACCUACAAUUUUUUCUUUAUUUAUUCGUCAAUGUGGGAAAUGUGAGAAAGUGUCAAUCAACGAGCAAACUGGAUACAUCGACACACAUCAGUUGCUAUUCUCGUGAAUGUUCACGCGAUCCGGAUUAAAGGUUCUUCCACAACGCUUACAAGGCACCAGCUGGCUCAAAUGCGUCAUCCAAUUGGCCUCUGCCGUCGCCGCCUGAUCAAACAUCAUAUUUCCCGUGCUGGAAUCUUCUGCGAACAGUGAAGUCGUCAUUGCCGAUUGUAUCGUAUCUUGAAAAAUGCAGGAAAAAUCUUGGAUAGGUACUUGAAGAAUUAUAUCGAAAAUAAAUCGGGAAACAAUAGUAAUUAAUCUGUAUGAUUGCUACAAAUCGAAUCGCCUCAAUCUUGUAACAAAUAUUAACGUCGAAGCAAAUUCUAUAGAAAAUUUAAAUUUUUAAAAGCCUGCGAAUCCUAUAUUUUCAUUGCGACUCUUGGAUUUUAAAAUUCUAAUCUCUUAAUUACAUUUUUGUAUACUUAUUGUAUAUGAAAUUAAGAGGUACAAGAAAAGCGAAAAGUUCUUUUUGCCACGUUUUUUUGUCAUGAAUUAUUAUUCAUCGUAGGUGGCACUUUUAACCGAGAAUAAUCUGCGAAGCGUGUAUAAUAAAUUAGGACUGUACCCACUUCCAUUCCACGGCGGUGCAUAAACGGACAUUACGGAUUCAUAUAUCAUACAUGCACGCGUAAUUGCUUCGGUAACCGAUUGAUUCACUAUAUAAGUACUUGAGCGUUACGUACUACUCUUGACCCUGACAGCGGACAGAAUAAAUCUCAAGAUCGAUUUUAACUUGCGGUGAGAGGUGUUUCUGAGAGCUUCUGAAUCUCCGAGUGCGCAUCCUAUAAAUCGUUUCUUACAUCAUCGGGCAACGAAGAUUGUGUCGCCGUCCGACAAGAUUAAUGAAGCGCGGACACCGACGUCCGCUCAAGCGAAAACAGCGCAGUACGCUUCUCGCGUAAAGAUAAUCGCCUCGUAAUGUCUUAUUAACACUGCUAUUCUUAAUUAAAAGGA